CCUACGGGUGGCUGCAGUGGGGAAUAUUGGACAAUGGGGGCAACCCUGAUCCAGCCAUGCCGCGUGUGUGAAGAAGGCCCUCGGGUUGUAAAGCACUUUCAGUGAGGAAGAACGCCUGGUGGUUAAUACCCAUCAGGAAAGACAUCACUCACAGAAGAAGCACCGGCUAACUCCGUGCCAGCAGCCGCGGUAAUACGGAGGGUGCGAGCGUUAAUCGGAAUUACUGGGCGUAAAGCGCGCGUAGGUGGCUUGAUAAGCCGGUUGUGAAAGCCCCGGGCUCAACCUGGGAACGGCAUCCGGAACUGUCAAGCUAGAGUGCAGGAGAGGAAGGUAGAAUUCCCGGUGUAGCGGUGAAAUGCGUAGAGAUCGGGAGGAAUACCAGUGGCGAAGGCGGCCUUCUGGACUGAUACUGACACUGAGGUGCGAAAGCGUGGGUAGCAAACAGGAUUAGAUACCCCGGUAGUC
rnacentral:rRNA from 1 species